rnacentral:lncRNA from 1 species
GAGGCCAUUAGAACUAAUCGACAUUGCAUUGGGCGACUCGUAUGAUGCAACCGAAGGGUUAAGAUGCAUCAAUGUAGCUCUAUUAUGUGUGCAACAAUGCCCCCCAGACAGACCUAACAUGUCAUUGGUUUUGGUCAUGUUGUGCGGUGACAGUGUAUUGCCCCAACCAAAGGAGCCUGGGUUUUUCAUCGAAAGAAAUCUGCCUAUGGCAGACUCUAUAUCAGUCAAAAGUGAAAUUUCCUCCAUGUAUAGAUCUAUUACAUCAUUAGAGCCACGAUAGACGCUUGUAAAUGUUGGAACAAAGAACAAGGUUGAAUGAAACAAGCAAUUUCUUGAGCUAGAAGGCUCGAUACUUGCUGUGCAAACAAAACAGAAUUGAGCUUAAAGAACUAAAGAAAUCAAUGAAUUAAGAGAGCAUUGGAUGAUAAAUUCUUUGAAGAAUUUUUCAUAUAUUUGAAAGAUGGCAUAAUACCAAUACAUAUACAUGACAUAAACUGGUUAAGAGAAGCAAAAUUGAUCACCUAAACACUACCUACUACCACUAAGUACAUUGAUAUCAUUAUAAUUAUUUUAACAUGGCAGAAAUUUUUUUUUUACUGGAACAUGGACCAAAUUGGUAAUAAUAACAAAACAUUAUUGCUGACAUAACAUUAUAACAUUGUUGCAUUGACCAGAAAAUUAAUUAAAGACCGUAUUUGGAAAAUUAGACCAACGCAUCAUAAUUAAGGGACUCAAUUAAAUAAUUAUUUUAAGAUUAAAGUAUUUAUUUAGUAAUUAAUUAGUAGUUCAAAAAAGUAGAAAUGAACUUCUUCCCCAAACAUUUAGGUUAAGUUCAAACAAGGCUAUGUCUAGUCCUAGCGGUGAGCAAAACUUAAUUCGACUUGAUUUUUUUUUUAAAGUUUGAGUUAAUUAAAUUGAGUUAUUCGGUUUUCUCGAGUAAACUUGAAUAAGUAAUUCGAGUUUCGAGUUUCGAGUUCGAGUCAAGUUGAAUUUUACAAUUUAAAUAAUUCAAAUAAUUCAAAUAACAUAUUGGUGUAAAUAUCCUUUGAUCUUUUUCAAUUUUGAAAAUGAGCAAAUUAGUCUCUCUCAACAAAAAUUUUUAAAAAAUCAAAAUAAUUUUUAAAAUCUAAAAUAUUUAUAAAAAUUUCAAAAUUCAAUUUUUUUUAAAUUAUAAAAAUUUCAAAAAAUAAAAAUUCAAAAUAUAUAUAUAAAGUUUAAAAAAUUGGGUAAAUUCCUAGGUGAUCACCCAACUUUUGGGUAGGUUCUAUUUUGGUCAUCCAACUUCAAAAACUUUCAAUUUCAUCACCAACGUUUUGAAAAUUUAAAAUUUUAGUAACCCACAAUUAAUUACUUAACAAAAAGAUGAUACGAUCAUUUUUUUUAUUGGCCUAAUAACAAAUUUAGUUCUCCAAUGUUUAUACAUUUUAUCAAAUUGAUCCUAAAUCUAAAAAUUCAACAGAUUUAGCCCUUAGUGUUUAUGAAAUUUGUUAUUUAAUUUUAAUUUUAAAAAAUCAAUAAAUUUAAUCUUGAACAUUUACAAAAUUUUCCAAUUUAAUUUUAAUUCUAAAAGUUUAAAAAAGAAAAAUAUUUUUAAAAAAUCAAUAAAAAAUCAUUUUUGUUAUUUAGAAGCUCUUUGAAAAGCAUAUGCAAUAACUUUUUUAAACAACGAUUUAGAAGAUCCCCAACAAAAUCUUUUCUUUUAUCAUAAAAUUGAACUUCUUUUAUACAUACCUAGUAAAGGGUGAGUAACAGAUAAGAGAAAAAUGACUUUUUAUCGAAUUUAUUAAAAAAAAAUUAAACUUUUAAGUUUAUAUUGAAAAUGAUAAAAUUUACACACAACUGCUUUUAGGUAAAUGUUUAUUGCUUUAAAUAUCAUAAAGUGGAUUAAUUUAAAAAAAUUAAACUUCUGUUGUAACUAAUAUAAUUGUUUUCUUAGCCUAUUUUUCUAACAAAUAGUUGUGUGAGCUAUGGACAUCCAUGUUCACUACACCAAAUUGUUGAUGCUAAGAUGAAGUUAGGCUAAGAUAAGGCUUCGAUUCACCUUGGUAGGACUGAAAGCCAUCAAGAGGAGAGGAGGGAGGAGAAAGAAGAGGAGGAGGAGAGAGAGAGAUCGUUUCCCCCCUUAAGUACUUUCGUCUAGUAUUUAUAUGGGGAGUUGAGGUGCUAUGGGGGAGCAUCCCAUUGGUGGACAAGCAUUUCGUUAUUUUUCAGUAAAAAUUGUGAUGUGAUUUUAUAAGGUUAUGAUAUGACACUAUAAAGUGAGUUAGUGAUGGAUGGUAAUUAUCCUAUUCGUUAGAGAGUUUGUGAGAAGUGACGAACCAAUCAUACCUGAUGAGGGUGUGUAGAACAAUAGUAGAACAAUAGUAGUACAAUCUAGUUAGAGAUGUAGAGGUGCCAGUUAAAGGAGGUAAUAUAACAAGCAUAGUUUUACUUGACAUGGGUGUAUUAAAUACCCAAAUAUUGACCUUUUUUUUUAUUUACCAAAAUAUUAAAUAGGGAUAAAUCCCGCAACUAUACAUGAACUAUAGUUUAAUGUGCAAUUGUAUACAUGAACUUUGAUAUUGUGCAAUUUUAUACAUGAAAUUUUGAUUUGAUCCAGUUCUUUUAAAUUAUUAACACAAUUAUUGAUAUAAUAUUAUUUUAUAUUUAUAUAUUCAUACAUAAAUAAUUAUAUUCAUUCAAUAUAAAAAUAAAUGUAUUUACUUAUUUAAAUCUGUAUAAUUAAAUCAAAAUUACAGUUUCAAGUAUAUAUUUGAAUCACAAUUAGAGUUUCACUUGUAUAAUUGUACCAAAUAAAGUUCAUGUAUACAAUUACACAUAAAAAUAAAAUUCAAGUAUAAUAUUAAGAUUUAUCCCUAUUAAAUACGUAAAAUUAUUUAUGGAUGUGUGUUAGAAUAAUAAAUUUUGGGCUCAUUUGCAAUUGUUUAAAUUAUUUUGAGCCAGUCUUCUUCUAUCUUCGGUUUAAAUUAUUCUGUACUGUUUGUUCCUGGGUUCUGGUGUGUGAAAAACCACACCUUUCCACAUCAAUAGUAGUCAAGCAUUGUUUUCAGCUUUGACCAAGUAUCUUUAGGAUGAUCAGGUCAUGCUUAAUCAUCCUUUCUUCUUUUACACAUUUAUAUACUUUACAUAUAUUAUAUACGUAUGGCAACCCUUUGACUUUUCAAAGCCGAAGAUAUAUAAGCUUGGAUUCAAACUCAUAUUUUAGCUUAAUAAAUCAACAUUUAAUUUUGAAAAGAAAUUUAAAUAUAUAAAACCCGAAACCCUUACAAUAUUUAAUUUGGUAAGAUGCGAGACUAACAUCAAUCUGAAAUUUAUUUGAUUUUAAAUUUAGAAUGUCAAAGGGGCUGCUAUAAUGAAUAGAAAAAUAAAUACCUACAGAGAGGGACGUCUAACCCAAUAAUAUUGAUCUUGAGAAGUUUCUCCUUGCAUCUAUUAUCUUUAAAAUGAGUAAUCAGUUUUACUUAUUAGGAAAUAAAUGGAAGCCUUCUUAAUGGAGCUUGUUCUGUGUUUGCUUCUCUUCUUUACAAGAAGAACUUGGGCAAUAGACACUUUAACCCAAGGGCAGUCCAUAAAAGAUGGUGAAACUCUUGUGUCAGCAGGUGGAAGCUUUGAACUGGGAUUUUUCAGUCCUGGGAAUUCCAAGAGUCGAUACGUGGGAAUUUGGUACAAGAAAGUAUCAACUGGAACUGUUGUAUGGGUUGCCAAUAGGGAAAAUUUAGUUUCAGAUGCCUCAGGAGUUUUAAGUAUCAAUGAGAAAGGCAUUCUUUCAAUCAUGAAUGGCACCAAAGGCAUUGUUUGGUCUUCAAACACAUCGAGAAAUUCAGCAGAGGAGCCGAUUGCACAACUCCUGGAUUCCGGAAAUUUCGUAGUGAAGGACCGAAAUGAUAGUGAUUCGGAAAACUUUCUUUGGCAAAGUUUUGAUCAUCCUGGCGAUACCUUUCUACCAGGAAUGAAGAUUGGAAUAAACUUUGUCACCGGUUCCGAGAGGCAUGCAUCAUCCUGGAAAAACACGGAAGAUCCUGCUCCGGGCAUAUAUACUUACAGGGUUGACUCGCAGGGGUACCCACAGGUAGUUGUUAAAAAGGGAGCUGAUAUAUUAUUCAGAGCAGGUUCAUGGAAUGGUCUUUAUCUCACAGGAAGCCCACUGCCUGUUAAUCCAUUAUAUUCAUUUGAGCUUGUCUUGAAUGAGAAUGAGGUCUACUACACAUACCAGGUGCAAAACAAUUCAAUCUAUACACGGUUUUUAUUGAAUCCAUCAGGUCUAAUACAACGCACCAUAUGGAAUGAGAGGACAAAUAACUGGGAGGUUUAUGCCACAUCGCAAUCGGAUCAAUGUUCGAUCUAUGCCUAUUGUGGAUCAUAUGCUACUUGCAGCACCAAUGAGUCUCCACCAUGUAAAUGCUUGGAAGGGUUCAUCCACAGAUCAGCAUCUCCCAGGGAUAUUAAUUCAGUAGAUUGGUCAUAUGGAUGUUCUCGAAGGACACCGCUGGCAUGUCAUGGUGGAGACAGCUUUCUCAGGAAAACUGGCCUAAAAUUACCGGACACUUCGAAAACUUGGGCAAAUAUUAGCAUUGAUCUUAAGGAGUGUGAGAAAUUGUGUUUGAAGAAUUGCUCUUGCACUGCAUACGCGAAUUUAGAUAUCCGAGAGGGAGGCCAUGGCUGCUUGCUGUGGUUUGGAGACCUAAUUGACAUCAUAGCAUUCAGUGAGGGUGGACAGGACCUUUAUAUCAGGCUGGCUACUUCUGAUCUGAGUAACGUUCCUUCUUUGUUUUCCAUUUAGAUUGAUCAAUAAAAUUAGACAUAAACAUUUGGGGUAUAUGUUCAAACAUGAAACCAUUUUUUUAACAUGAAACCAUUUUUUUGACUGAUUAUUNNNNNNNNNNNNNNNNNNNNNNNNNNNNNNNNNNNNNNNNNNNNNNNNNNNNNNNNNNNNNNNNNNNNNNNNNNNNNNNNNNNNNNNNNNNNNNNNNNNNCAGAUCAUAUACGAAGCAAAGGAAAGCUAAAUGAAAAGCUGAAGGCUGUAAUCAUAGCCAUCUCUGUAAUAAUAGCCAGCGGAAUGACAAUACUAGCAUUGUUGUUGUAUGUUCAGAAGAUCAUGCUUAGAAACACAGGUAAACAGAUCAGUUGCCAAUUAAAACCACUAUCAUAUAACAAGAUAAUCAUUUUCAAUCCAUCUUAUAUUAAUUCAAUGACAACCAGGGGAACAUGGAAAGGAAGAUUUAGAGUUGCCUGUUUUUGAUUUAACAACCAUAGCUACUGCAACUAAUAACUUCUCGAGCAACAACAUCCUUGGACAAGGUGGAUUUGGUCCUGUUUACAAGGUAUAUAAGCUGUAUUCUGCAAACUAUAUUUCACUCACUAUUUAACCAUUUUGAACAUUAUAAAUUUUAGGGAACAUUGAUUGAGGGGCAAGAAAUAGCAGUGAAGAGACUUUCAAAGAAUUCGGGACAAGGACUGGAAGAGUUCAAAAAUGAAGUAACAUUGAUUUCCAAACUCCAGCACCGCAAUCUUGUAAAGCUCUUUGGUUGUUGCAUCAGGAAAGAUGAAAAGAUGUUAGUUUAUGAGUACAUGCCUAACAAAAGUUUGAACUACUUUAUUUUCGGUUCGAAACCUACUAUCUCAGCACUUCUUUUUCUCCCCUUCCUUCCCCACCCCAUGGUCUUGUUACCCAAUUUCUUUUUAUUUCUUUGUCUGAUGUCUUUUUUAUUGGUUGCAGAUCAAACAAGAAGCAAAUUACUGGACUGGCGUAUACGAAUGCAUAUUAUCGAUGGAAUUGCUAGAGGGGUUCUUUAUCUUCACCAUGACUCUAGAUUGAAGAUUAUCCAUAGAGAUCUCAAAGCAAGCAAUAUUUUACUAGAUCAUAACAUGAAUCCGAAGAUAUCUGAUUUUGGCUUAGCUCGAAAGUUCGGAGUAGAUCAGACUCAGGCCAAAACUAAAAGAGUGGUCGGAACAUAGUAUGUAUAUAAGCAAGACUUGUUUGGUGCAUUAUUCCAAGUGGCUUUUAAAGUUCUAAUCUAACAUUUUUCUCCUGCAGCGGUUAUAUGUCCCCUGAAUAUGCUUUGGAUGGGCUUUUUUCAAUGAAAUCCGAUGUCUUCAGCUUUGGAGUUUUGGUUCUGGAGAUACUAUCAGGAAAGAAAAACAGGGGAUUUUCCCACCCAGAACAUGACCAUAAUCUUCUUGGACAUGUAAGACCUGAAGACUGAACUGUAGCAAAUCAUGUUUUCUUUUGUCUCAAACAAUAAUAUCAUUUGCGGUUCCAACUUUUCAGGCAUGGAAAUUGUGGAUGGAAAAGAGGCCAUUAGAACUAAUCGACCCUGCAAUAGGCGACUCGUAUGAUGCAACCGAAGGGUUAAGAUGCAUCAAUGUAGCUCUAUUAUGUGUGCAACAAUGCCCCCCUGACAGACCUAACAUGUCAUUGGUUUUGGUCAUGUUGUGCGGUGACAGUGUAUUGCCCCAACCAAAGCAGCCUGGGUUUUUCAUCGAAAGAAAUC